rnacentral:tRNA from 1 species
AGAUGAAUACAUAUAUAAGCUUCUAACUUAUAAUAAGCUUUUAAAAGAGCUUUCAUCUU